GACGGAGGGGGCAAGCGUUGUCCGGAAUCACUGGGCGUAAAGGGCGCGUAGGUGGCUUCGUGCGACGGUGCUGAAAUCUCCGGGCUUAACCCGGAAACUGCCAUUGAUACUAUUUGUCUUGAAUACUGUGGAGGUCAGCGGAAUAUGUCAUGUAGCGGUGAAAUGCUUAGAUAUGACAUAGAACACCAAUUGCGAAGGCAGCUGGCUACACAAAUAUUGACACUGAGGCACGAAAGCGUGGGGAUCAAACAGG
rnacentral:rRNA from 1 species